rnacentral:rRNA from 1 species
AGUGAACGCUGGCGGUAGGCCUAACACAUGCAAGUCGAACGGCAGCACAGUAAGAGCUUGCUCUUACGGGUGGCGAGUGGCGGACGGGUGAGGAAUACAUCGGAAUCUACUUUUUCGUGGGGGAUAACGUAGGGAAACUUACGCUAAUACCGCAUACGACCUACGGGUGAAAGCAGGGGAUCUUCGGACCUUUCGCGAUUGAAUGAGCCGAUGUCGGAUUAGCUAGUUGGCGGGGUAAAGGCCCACCAAGGCGACGAUCCGUAGCUGGUCUGAGAGGAGGAUCAGCCACACUGGAACUGGGACACGGUCCAGACUACUACGGGAGGCAGCAGUGGGGAAUAGUGGACAAUGGGCGCAAGCCUGAUCCAGCCAUACCGCGUGGGUGAAGAAGGCCUUCGGGUUGUAAAGCCCUUUUGUUGGGAAAGAAAAGCAGCAGGUUAAUACCCCGCUGUUCUGACGGUACCCAAAGAAUAAGCACCGGCUAACUUCGUG